rnacentral:lncRNA from 1 species
CUUGGCCCCGCGGAGCGUGACUGUCUCGGCUGGAAGCGUGGGAGGCCGGAGGAUCAGUGACUGGCUGUCGUGGACAUGCUCGCUACACCUCCCGGGGCUUCGCUUCGUUUACUAUUAACUGUCGUUACUCCUCUGUAUCUCGUCAGCAGGGGCUGCCUGCGGUGUUAGAAUUACACGCCCCUGCCACCUGGGCACGGAGCCCAGUCUCCCGGCCCCUCAGUCAGUCCUUGGGUGUAGCUGGAGCAUUUAAGAAAAAUGAAAUAUAGGAACUCAGUGCAUGGUUUCCUGGGCCUUUUUAUUGAAUAUCAUUUCUAACAUGUACACAGUAUAACCCAGGCUUAGUGGAUUCCGGGACAGAAAAUGUUGGGAGCUGGGAUAGUCAAGUAAACAAGAAGAAAUGGUAAAGAGAUGCCAAGUGGGAGAGGAAACUACGGAUGCAGAGAGAGGAUCUGGGAUAAAGAGAACAAAGAUGCGUGGUCGACUUUAUGGAAACUCGUUUCUUUUUAAUAAGUGAGGUACAUGGUAGAAGACUUUGACAUGUUGAUUAUGUGACUGGGACCAAGGACAACAACUCGAGAAUUGAUUAAAACUACAGUUAUUCCUUGGUUGCCCCAAGGAUGAUCCUGGUACAAUAUGGCUAUUUCCUUUUCACUGGUAAUCCUUAUUUACUCUUGAAAGGGUAAAAAUCCGUGUCUUGUACAUAUUUGGAGUUUCACAAUACCUUCACAUAGUAAUCUAUGUGAGAAUUAUUUUAAACAUUUUGGAGACCAAAAAGGGGAAAGAGAAAGAGACGGAAAAUUACUAAUUACACUAAUUGUAUUUUACCCCCAAGAACGCCAUUACCAGCGGUUAACAUUAGUUCCAGGAGUCCAAACAUAGUUUUCAAGAUAAAACCCCUUACACUAUAAUCAUUAGAAACCAAAAAUUAUAAUAAUUCACCAACAUCCAGCAUACUCAUUUAGGAAGGGUUGAAGAAUCUGUGUAAAUAGAGUUGUUUGAUAACAGUUAUAAAAAUAUCCCUUUACCCAUCUUCACCCUCCAUCCCGAAUUCAAAACUAGUAACAGUUGGGAUAAAGGUAUAGAAAAGAAUCAGUUUUGCAAGUGUAGAGAAUGGAGAAAGCAAGAAACCGC